AACGAACGCUGGCGGCAUGCCUAACACAUGCAAGUCGAACGAUGCUUUCGGGCAUAGUGGCGCACGGGUGCGUAACGCGUGGGAAUCUGCCCUUGGGUUCGGAAUAACAGUGAGAAAUUGCUGCUAAUACCGGAUGAUGCCUUCGGACCAAAGAUUUAUCGCCCAGGGAUGAGCCCGCGUAGGAUUAGCUAGUUGGUGGGGUAAUGGCCUACCAAGGCGACGAUCCUUAGCUGGUCUGAGAGGAUGAUCAGCCACACUGGGACUGAGACACGGCCCAGACUCCUACGGGAGGCAGCAGUGGGGAAUAUUGGACAAUGGGCGCAAGCCUGAUCCAGCAAUGCCGCGUGAGUGAUGAAGGCCUUAGGGUUGUAAAGCUCUUUUACCCGGGAUGAUAAUGACAGUACCGGGAGAAUAAGCUCCGGCUAACUCCGUG
rnacentral:rRNA from 1 species